rnacentral:rRNA from 1 species
AUACAGAGGGUGCGAGCGUUAAUCGGAAUUACUGGGCGUAAAGGGUGCGUAGGUUGCACUGCAAGUUGGAUGUGAAAUACCCAGGCUUAACCUGGGGGUGUCAUUCAAAACUGCGGAGCUAGAGUAAGGUAGAGGGAAGUGGAAUUUCCGGUGUAGCGGUGAAAUGCGUAGAUAUCGGAAGGAACACCAGUGGCGAAGGCGGCUUCCUGGACUAUUACUGACACUGAGGCACGAAAGCGUGGGGAGCAAACAGGAUUAGAUACCCCGGUAGUCC